GGCUCUGUGGCGCAAUGGAUAGCACAUUGGACUUCUAGUGUAUUGAAGGCAUUCAAAGGUUGUGGGUUCGAGUCCCAACAGAGUUG
rnacentral:tRNA from 1 species